GUAGGGUGCGAGCGUUAAUCGGAAUUACUGGGCGUAAAGCGUGCGCAGGCGGUUGUGCAAGACAGAUGUGAAAUCCCCGGGCUUAACCUGGGAAUUGCAUUUGUGACUGCACGGCUAGAGUGUGUCAGAGGGGGGUAGAAUUCCACGUGUAGCAGUGAAAUGCGUAGAUAUGUGGAGGAAUACCGAUGGCGAAGGCAGCCCCCUGGGAUAACACUGACGCUCAUGCACGAAAGCGUGGGGAGCAAACAGGAUUAGAUACCCUGGUAGUCCACGCCCUAAACGAUGUCUACUAGUUGUCGGGUCUUAAUUGACUUGGUAACGCASUAACGCGUGAAGUAGACCGCCUGGGGAGUACGGUCGCAAGAUUA
rnacentral:rRNA from 1 species